CCAAUAGCGUCUAUUAAAGUUGUUGCAGUUAAAAAGCUCGUAGUUGACUUUCGGGGUUCAUCCGUUGGUCGGGCUCUUUGGUCUGUACUGGCGUGAUGGAUUCCUACCUUCUGAAUAACCGGCAUGCCAUUAAUUUGGUGCGCCGGGGAAGCAGGACUGUUACCUUGAAAAAAUUAGAGUGCUUAAAGCAGGCUAUCGCCUGAAUACAUUAGCAUGGAAUAAUGAAAUAGGACGCAUGGUUCUAUUUUGUUGGUUUCUAGGAUCACCGUAAUGAUUAAUAGGGAUAGUUGGGGGCAUUAGUAUUCAAUUGUCAGAGGUGAAAUUCUUGGAUUUAUUGAAGGCUAACUUCUGCGAAAGCAUUUGCCAAGGAUGUUUUCAUUAAUCAAGAACGAAAGUUAGGGGAUCGAAGACGAUCAGAUACCGUCGUAGUCUUAACCAUAAACUAUGCCGACUAGGGAUCGGACGAAGUUAAUUUUUUAAUGACUCGUUCGGCGCCUUACG
rnacentral:rRNA from 1 species